CCACCUAGCACUUUCAUCCCAUACUUGUAGAACGCAUAACACAGCUAUUCACCUGGCUUUAAAGAAUCUCAUUGGAACACGACAUAGCUCAACCUGUUUAAUAACAUUUCUCCUAGGUUUUGCUUCAUUUUUUGCCACCUUAAACUAAAACCAUCUCACACACCAUUAAUUAUAUAUUUUACAGGCAUUCAACAACAGAGGAUAAC